rnacentral:rRNA from 1 species
UACGAAGGGGGCUAGCGUUGUUCGGAAUUACUGGGCGUAAAGCGUGCGCAGGCGGCUUCUCAAGUCAGGGGUGAAAGCCCAGAGCUCAACUCUGGAAUUGCCUUUGAGACUGAGUGGCUUGAGUACGAGAGAGGUGAGUGGAAUUCCCAGUGUAGAGGUGAAAUGCGUAGAUAUUGGGAGGAACACCGGUGGCGAAGGCGGCCACCUGGGCCGGAACUGACGCUGAGGCGCGAAAGCGUGGGGAGCAAACGGG